CACCCAGGAGACAGAGGUAGCAGUGAGCUGUGAUCAUGCCACUGUACUCCAGCCUGGGCAACAGAGUGAGACUGCAGGAAAACAAAAGACUACCGAGUCUCAUGUGGAACUGCCCACCUGACAUCUCCCCUGAAAGGCCUAACGGGCGUCUCACCAUGGCCCACAGAGAACUGAUCCACUUGAUUUUCCCCAAGCUGGCCCCUCUCCUGCAGUCUCCCCAUCUCAGUCAAUGGCAACACCAUCCUUUUAGUUGCCCCGACUGAAAACCUAGCAGCCAUCCUGGAUUUCUCUCACACUGUCUAUUCAAGGUGUGAAUGCAUGAGUGGAAAGCUGAGUUCGCACUCGUGACUGGCCGGGGUCAACGCUGACGUUCCCUCCCACUUCCGCGCGCUGAUUUGACUCUGAGCUGAUGAAGGUUGGGCCCUGGCGGGCGGGGCCGGAGAGGCGGGCCUGGAGCCAGGGGGCGGGACAGACGCCACGGAAACGCGCUCGCGCCGGCGCCGAACCACAACUUCUGGCGGCCCCCGCGCUUCCGGGCGGCAAGAUGGUGGCGCGCAGGAGGAAGCGGCCGGCGCGGGAACGGGACGACCGUAUCCCGAGCCCACCGGGUUACACAGGGCGAGCCUGUCUUCGUCCACGCUUCCCGUGGGUGAGCCCACCUCUGUCCACCCCUCACCCAGGGCAAACCCAUUUCCGUCCACACUCGCUCAUCCAGGAGAGCCUGUCCCGCCUCCUGUCCUCCUGUGGCCUCGUCCAGUCUGUAGAGUUGCAGGAGAAGCCGGACCUGGCCGAGAGCCCAAAGGAGUCAAGGUCGAAGUUUUUUCAUCCCAAGCCAGUUCCGGGGUUCCAGGUAGCCUACGUGGUGUUCCAGAAGCCAAGUGGGGUGUCAGUGGCCUUGGCCCUGAAGGGCCCUCUGCUGGUGUCCACAGAGAGCCACCCUGUGAAGAGUGGCAUUCACAAGUGGAUCAGUGACUACGCAGACUCCAUGCCCGACCCUGAGGCCCUGAGGGUGGAAGUGGACACGUUCAUGGAGGCGUAUGACCAGAAGAUCGCUGAGGAAGAAGCUAAGGCCAAGGAGGAGGAGGGGGUCCCUGACGAGGAGGGGUGGGUGAAGGUGACCCGCCGGGGCCGACGGCCUGUGCUCCCCCGGACUGAAGCAGCCAGCCUGCGGGUGCUGGAGAGGGAGAGACGGAAGCGCGCCCGAAAGGAGCUGCUCAACUUCUAUGCCUGGCAGCACCGGGAGAGCAAGAUGGAGCAUCUAGCGAAGCUGCGCAAGAAGUUCGAGGAGGACAAGCAGAGGAUCGAGCUGCUGCGGGCCCAGCGCAAAUUCCAACCCUACUGAGCCACGAGAGCUGCAGUGGAUGGCUGGAGGUGCAGGGCCUGGAGGAACAUCAGGCCUGGCCUUAUUGCAGGGCUCGGGAACUCACAUUCCCAGUGUUGAGUCUGGCAGCACGAGGUCGUCAUAGUUCCAGGCCCAGAGCUACAGCUAGGCUGUGAGCAUGUGUUUGUGCUGUAAGAAGGAGCUGAUGAUACUGGCCACAUGCUGGGGUUCGCUCAUGUGGACAUAGUGAUUGCCUGGAAUUUCCACAAACUGGAACUGCUGGAGAAGGGAGAGGGUGUGUGGUGAGGUGUGGCCAGAGGAGCCUAGGGAGCUCCAUAGGCCUUGGGGUCAGGGCCCUCCCACAGCCUUCAGGCUCCCUGCAGGGCAGGAGCACCUCCCACGGUGAGUUUCCCGCACACUCUACACCUUGGAGCCGGGUCAGUCCAUAGCACCCCAGGAGGUGUGUGAGCCCUGGGGACUUGGAGGCCUCCCAGCUAAGUUGUGAAGUUGCACGGGGCGGGGGGAUGGGAGGGGGGAGGAGGACAGGGACACUACGGGAAGACAGGGCGGGGCUAAGGCCAGGGAUACUGUGAUUGUAUUAGAGGAGGUCCCCUUGAGAACAGAUAAUGAGAUGGGGACCUGAGCAGCCUGCAGACUUGUGCCUGCCUUCAAGAAGCCAGACGGGAGGGCCCUGCCUGCCUUGGCUCUGACCACGUGACCAGCGACGUGACCAGCCAGCCACAGGUGCGCUUCCUCCCUUUGUGACAACGCCAGGAAACCUGCAGAGGCCCCAGGAUCAGGUGGUUGAGGGGCGCCACAGGCAGAGUGGGCUCCUCCCUCCUUCAUGGGAACACUUCAAGAUGGUUUCCACAAAGCCAGUAUUGUGGGGCUUGAACUGAGAUGAGAAGAUAAAGACCUCAUCUCCUCUGCUCUCUCACCAUCCUGCACCACCCGCUCACACCUCCAGGCCUGUCCUGCCAGCUCCUUUCUCCUCCUGGAGUCCGUGGGAGCAGCUCCCGCACCUGCACUGCUUUGCUCAAAAGUCACCUUCUCAUGAGGCCCACCCAGACCCUCCUAUUCAAAAGAGGAAGUGGAGCUGCAGCCUCUCCAGCAAUGCUCGCCGCCCUCCCCACUCUGCCUCCUCCACGAGCCCUCCCCUCCUCACGCACUCUAACCCAUCCAGAGGACCUCACAGACAAGCCAACGGGCUCCAGAGGCUCCCAGCAGCCAGAGAGGCGGGCACAGAUUCUCCCUCACAGCCCUCGGAAGGAACCAGCCCUGCCGAGGCCUUGACCUUGGACCCUGAACUCCGGAACUGUGGGGAAACGUGUCUUGGUGGUUAAAGCUCCAGAUUCUGGAGGGAUCAGGUUGGAUGAUGUGGGCGGGGGAGGACAGAAUGUGAACUCUCAGGUGCUCUGGGGCUGGCGGGAAGGAUUUGGGAGGAGCUGACAUCGUCCUGGAGGCACUGGGUGGGGGUCUGGGUACUGUCUUCUUUUAGGUUAUUUCCUUCGUUUACUGCGGCUGGGUCCCAAAAGGCCAGAACUGCUGUAGAGGGCUUGUCCGCACACAACGUUCCAGCCAGCUGACCUCUUCCCCAGACCCAGGGUCACCUCCUUCUCAGCCCUCCCUCUUGCCUGUUCCCUCACCCCACUGAGACCCACAUAGGGGUUCCUGGUCAGCAUCCUGCAUUCACUGUUUCCUGUGACCUGGGCCUAAUCAGAUUCCCCGGCCUCAUCACAGAUUAGCUCACUUCUGUGCCUGGGGCUCCCUAGGUCAGCCAUCCGUGAGGCAUGUCCAGGAAGCCUGGGCCCGGGGUCCCUGACCUCCCCUCCCCAUGAUAGGUUUCCAGGGAGGCGAGAUAAAGGUUCACAGAUGAUCACAAAGACCCAACAGGUCCCAAACUGGCGACCGAGGCCAAAACAGCCCACAGGUGCCGCUCUUUAGAUCCUCAUAUCCAUUUCUGGAUUCAUGACACCUAAAAAUCUACAACUCAGCAGAUCAACUGCAGAGCUGAGCAACUGGAAAUUCUGGCCACAUGAGACUAAAUUCCCACUUGAUUAGCACUGGCCCAGAUGCCUGCCAAGGUGGGCCGGCUCCAGCCCCAAAGUCCCUACACAUCCCAUAGCCUCCCUCCCAGCCGGCAUGGUGGACUCCACAACACCCCCCACCUACCCCCAGGUGCCGGAGUUUCUGACCCCUGCAUCACUCAGCACUUUAUAAAGGGAAGGCACAUGCCCACCUCGCCUGAUCCGAUGAGCGCGAAUAACCCAAGACCUUGUUUGUCACCUGAGCACACAAGGGGACUCAAAAGGGAAAGGGCUGUCCCAGGUUCACUCGGCUGGCAGUGUCAGGAAGCCACGUUGUUUCGCCCAACUCAGCACAUUCUCCGUCUGACCACAGCAUCUCCCUCCAGCUGUUCCCUCACCCUGGGAGAGCUGCCUCCCGGACCACCCCUCUGGAGCAGGCCCCGCCACCAGUCUCUUCUAGAGCGUGUGUAUUUCCCUCGUUACAUCCAGAGAAUGUCUAACCGCU